rnacentral:rRNA from 1 species
UUGGUGCCGUUCGGGAACUCUGACACAGGUGCUGCAGUGGCUGUCGUCAGCUCGUGUCGUGAGAUGGUUGGGUUAACGUCCCGUAACGAGCGCAACCCUUGUCCUUAGUUACCAGCACGUUAUGGUGGGCACUCUAAGGAGACUGCCGGUGACAAACCGGAGGAAGGUGGGGAUGACGUCAAGUCAUCAUGGCCCUUACGGCCUGGGCUACACACGUGCUACAAUGGUCGGUACAAAGGGUUGCCAAGCCGCGAGGUGGAGCUAAUCCCAUAAAACCGAUCGUAGUCCGGAUCGCAGUCUGCAACUCGACUGCGUGAAGUCGGAAUCGCUAGUAAUCGUGAAUCAGAAUGUCGCGGUGAAUACGUUCCCGGGCCUU